rnacentral:rRNA from 1 species
UACAGAGGGUGCAAGCGUUAAUCGGAUUUACUGGGCGUAAAGCGCGCGUAGGCGGCUAAUUAAGUCAAAUGUGAAAUCCCCGAGCUUAACUUGGGAAUUGCAUUCGAUACUGGUUAGCUAGAGUGUGGGAGAGGAUGGUAGAAUUCCAGGUGUAGCGGUGAAAUGCGUAGAUAUCAGGAGGAACACCUAUGGCGAAAGCAGGUUCUGGGCCAUCACUGACGCUGAGCUGCGAAAGCUAGGGGAGCAAACAGG